rfam:Lupinus angustifolius cultivar Tanjil chromosome LG02, whole genome shotgun sequence.
CAUCCACUAAUGCACCGGAUUCCAUCAGAACUCUGCAGUUAAGCAUGCUUGGGCAAGAGUAGUACUAAGAUGGGUGACCUCUUGGGAAGUUCUCGU